rfam:Oryctolagus cuniculus unplaced genomic scaffold chrTn0604, whole genome shotgun sequence.
GGGAAACGAUGGCGGGGCUGGGGAAAUGAGCUCCCCCGAGUCCUCGCCGGGCAAAUAGGCUCA